rnacentral:rRNA from 1 species
GAUGAACGCUGGCGGCGUGCCUAAUACAUGCAAGUCGAGCGAACAGACGAGGAGCUGCUCCUCUGACGUUAGCGGCGGACGGGUGAGUAACACGUGGAUAACCUACCUAUAAGACUGGGAUAACUUCGGGAAACCGGAGCUAAUACCGGAUAAUAUAUUGAACCGCAUGGUUCAAUAGUGAAAGACGGUUUUGCUGUCACUUAUAGAUGGAUCCGCGCCGCAUUAGCUAGUUGGUAAGGUAACGGCUUACCAAGGCAACGAUGCGUAGCCGACCUGAGAGGGUGAUCGGCCACACUGGAACUGAGACACGGUCCAGGCUCCUACGGGAGGCAGCAGUAGGGAAUCUUCCGCAAUGGGCGAAAGCCUGACGGAGCAACGCCGCGUGAGUGAUGAAGGUCUUCGGAUCGUAAAACUCUGUUAUUAGGGAAGAACAAAUGUGUAAGUAACUAUGCACGUCUUGACGGUACCUAAUCAGAAAGCCACGGCUAACUACGUG